rnacentral:rRNA from 1 species
AUUGAACGCUGGCGGCAGGCCUAACACAUGCAAGUCGAGCGAGCGGCGGACGGGUGAGUAAUGUAUGGGGACUGCCCGAUAGAGGGGGAUAACUACUGGAAACGGUAGCUAAUACCGCAUACUAUCGGAUAACCCAUAUGGGAUUAGCUAGUAGGUGAGGGAAUGGCUCACCUAGGCGACGAUCCCUAGUUGGUCUGCGAGGAUGAUCAGCCACACUGGGACUGAGAACAGGCCCAGACGCCUACGGAGGCAGCAGUGGGGAAUAUUGCACAAUGGGCGCAAGCCUGAUGCAGCCAUGCCGCGUGUAUGAAGAAGGCCCUCGGGUUGUAAAGUACUUUCAGUCGGGAGGCGUUACCGACAGAAGAAGCACCGGCUAACUCCGAGCCAGCAGCCGCGGUAAUUC